GAUGAACGCUGGCGGCGUGCCUAAUAUAUGCAAGUCGAGCGAACGGACGAGAAGCUUGCUUCUCUGAUGUUAGCGGCGGACGGGUGAGUAACACGUGGAUAACCUACCUAUAAGACUGGGAUAACUUCGGGAAACCGGAGCUACUACCGGAUAAUAUUUUGAACCGCAUGGUUCAAAAGUGAAUGACGGUCUUGCUGUCACUUAUAGAUGGAUCCGCGCUGCAUUAGCUAGUUGGUAAGGUAACGGCUUACCAAGGCAACGAUGCAUAGCCGACCUGAGAGGGUGAUCGGCCACACUGGAACUGAGACACGGUCCAGACUCCUACGGGAGGCAGCAGUAGGGAAUCUUCCGCAAUGGGCGAAAGCCUGACGGAGCCACGCCGCGUGAGUGAUGAAGGUCUUCGGAUCGUAAAACUCUGUUAUUAGGGAAGAACAUAUGUGUAAGUAACUGUGCACAUCUUGACGGUACCUAAUCAGAAAGCCCCGGCUAACUACGUG
rnacentral:rRNA from 1 species